CACGUAGGGGACGAGCGUUAUCCGGAGUUACUGGGCGUAAAGCGCGCGUAGGCGGACCUGCAAGUCGGGGGUGAAAGCCCGAGGCUCAACCUCGGAACUGCCUUCGAUACUGCGGGUCUCGAGUCCGGGAGAGGUGAGUGGAAUUCCUAGUGUAGAGGUGAAAUUCGUAGAUAUUAGGAAGAACACCAGUGGCGAAGGCGGCUCACUGGCCCGGUACUGACGCUGAGGCGCGAAAGCGUGGGGAGCAAACAGG
rnacentral:rRNA from 1 species